rnacentral:lncRNA from 1 species
UCCAUCCAUUGUCACACGCUGCAUUUUGCGAUGCUGCCUCCAACCCCUAGUUGUGGAACUCGGUGUUGCCCUCCAAUAAAUAAUUGUGGCCUCAAACUAUUUUCUUACCCCAUAAUGAUGGCAUUUCCAAAGCUGAAUUGGAAACCAAUAAUCCAAAAUUUACCAGAAGUAUCAGCCGACUCUCUUAAGAAGGGAGAACAUAAUAAUCAAUUAAAUAUCACAAUAAAAAGAAAGAG